GUAAUAUUAUUUAUAUUGAUUAUCAAGGGAUCAUCUGGUUGUCUUUCCGUAUUAUUGUCUUGAGUCUUGUCUCUAGAUGUGUUGGAGUACUGUUUAUUGUAAUCUGGCGACCGUAGUUGUUCAGCCAUAACAUGAUCAAUCGCUCUUGCGUGAACAUUUAUACUUACUGCCUGCGUUCAUGGGCUUUGUUGCUUCUUGUAUAUCACCAUUAAACGUUUUUACUGGCAAAAUAGUCUCAACUAACAGUGAACCAUAUUAAAAACCUAUUAAUAAGAAAGACGGUUAAAAUACCUUUGUGGAAUAUUUCUUGAAUGGAAGAGGAGCUU